rnacentral:rRNA from 1 species
CGCCCUUAGAGUUUGAUCAUGGCUCAGAUUGAACGCUGGCGGCAGGCCUAACACAUGCAAGUCGAACGGUAAAGUAGCUUGCUACUUACGAGUGGCGGACGGGUGAGUAAUGUCUGGGGAUCUGCCUGAUGGAGGGGGAUAACUACUGGAAACGGUAGCUAAUACCGCAUAAUGUCGCAAGACCAAAGCGGUUCGUCGCACCAUCAGAUGAACCCAGAUGGGAUUAGCUAGUAGGUAGGGUAAUGGCUUACCUAGGCGACGAUCCCUAGCUGGUCUGAGAGGAUGACCAGCCACACUGGAACUGAGACACGGUCCAGACUCCUACGGGAGGCAGCAGUGGGGAAUAUUGCACAAUGGGGU